ACCCAGGCAUCCCUUCCCUUUUUAUUCAUGUUUGUUGGCUUGUACUUUUUGUUUCUAUUUUUCAUUUUAUUCAUACACACCCAGGUGUAUCUCCAAAAGCAAGCUACUCGCUUACCUGAACCGAAGGCACAUUUACCAAAGACACAAAGCCAGGGCUAAUCCGCAGCCUCAUCCAAGCUGGCUGCUCAUCGCCAUGGUUUUGUGUCGUUCCGCAUCCUGUGGUUGUCAGUUCUCCCACAUGGGACGUUUUUGGCCGUGACCUUACACACGGCAUAGGCUUGGAUCAGGCCAAGCGAGUUCUGGUGCUUUCUCUUCCCGUUCACAGGCCCAAUCCCAGAACACUGGACACCUGAGCAAACAGACGACGGGCCAAGGUGGAUGACAGGACAAGGACGUGCCCAGGUCGCCCCUGUGCCGGGUGGUGAGGACGUGCCCUGGGGGCGAGAAUGCUGCAGGAUAGAGGACGCGCCCUGGGGGCGAGGACGCAGAGGCCACCCGCCGGACAGCGGCGAGCGCUGCGACCCCCCGACACAUCUGAUUUUGGCCGCUGAGACCCGCCUCAGACCCCUGACCCCCAGCACCGCGAGGCGUCGGGUUUGUGCAGCUAGAAUCGCGGUCAUCUGUCAGAGCAGCAAACGGGAACCGAAUCCAUCAAGCUCUCACGGGUCACGUGCACACACGCUCGGCCGCGCCGUCUUCCAGUCCCCGCCCUGGCAGGUUGUCUCUCCUACCAUUGGCCAGAUCUGGGUCACAUGGUCACGCCUAAACCAAUGGCUAGCAAGAGGAGGGCGGGCCCUACCUUUGGUUACAAAUCAUACUGCCGGCUCCCUGCCCAAGAGCUGGUCGCUUUGCGGCGACGGGGGUGCGGUGGGGGCGCUUGGGGGUGGCGUGGAAGAGUUGCAGCGGGGAUUGCAUGGAUUGAGCAGGAAGGGCCUGGAACCCAGGCUGAGAAGCCUGGACUUCGUCCAGGGGCCAUGGGGAGCCACGGUGGCGUUUGAGAGGGGAGGGCACAUCCGAUGAAGGCGUCAUGAAGCCCAGCUCUGACCAGAGUUCUCCCGUAGCAUCCACCAUCCCCGAGUCUUCAGGUGCUGCCUUGGUUAUCAACAUCACAUACCCUAUGGAGAACCCACAAGGCCUUGAAGUUUUCGGGUCCUAGUGCAAGGGCUGUGGACAUUGAGUGAGUGUGGAGUCCAUCACAAGCCUUCUUCCGGCUUGAGGAAGCCAAAGGGGACCCUCUCACUGUGGCACCAAACCCAGUCUGUAGCCCCUGCUUGCACCCGUUGCCCGUUGCUGCUCUAAGGAACUGCCACGAACGUGGUGGCUUGAAACAAGACACGGUCUUCUCUUCCAGUUCUGGGGGUCAGAAGUCCACCCCUGAACCAAAAUCGAGACAGCAGUGGCAGGUCACGUCCAUCACUGUGACCACAGAGGGAAGUGGUCUCCGCUUUUGACGACCCUCUGAUUCCACUGGGCCCACCUGCGAAUCCCGGACCGUUUCCCUGAUCCAAACCUUUGAGGUGGGUUUUCUCUUACCUGUAGCACAAACAUCCUAUCACUUCUGUCCCCACACCCCCUUCCUCACCAUUGUUCAGUCCAAUGCGAUUUAAACGUCCUCCUCCUCUGGGAAGUCGGCCUGGGCCUCCCCAGUCUGCACUGGGUAUAGCAUCCUCCAUCACAGUCCUGAUCACUCUGGAUUGUCAUUGCCUGUUUUCUGUGGGGUCUGGAGGAGUGAAGCCUGGGGCCACGGGGAGUCAUGGUGGAUGUCUGAGCUGGGGGAGGAGCCUUAUGGUAGACAGCCAAGGUAGGAAGCGGGCUGCAGGGGAUGAGGCUGAGACCAGUUCAGGGUGGACAGGAGGGCAUGAAAAGGAGAGACCAAAAAGGGGGGGGGGGAGGGCUCCCCAGAGAGGGCCCGUGUCUUGCUUAAGGUCACCCAGCACAUGGCCUCUGGGUCGGAGAGAUAGGCCAGGAUGGGAGGCAGGAGGCUGCUGGCAACUGGUCUCAGUUUCGAACCCACGCCAGGCCAACAAUGACCCUUUGGUUUGCACAAACCCAGGCCGGGGCGGCUGAGCCACAGCAGGGUCAGCCCUCGGCCAAGGCCACAAUGUCCAGCUCUUGCACACUCCUGGUGAGGACAUAGGGUCCCAUCCCCGCCCCAUCCCCAACCGGGGGAGAAUCCC